rnacentral:rRNA from 1 species
UAAAAACCCCGACUUCGGAAGGGGUGUAUUUAUUAGAUACAAAACCAAUGCCCUUCGGGGCUCUUUGGUGAUUCAUGAUAACUAUACGAAUCGCACGGCCUUGCGCCGGCGAUGGUUCAUUCAAAUUUCUUCCCUAUCAACUUUCGAUGUUUGGGUAUUGGCCAAACAUGGUUGCAACGGGUGACGGAGGGUUAGGGCUCGACCCCGGAGAAGGAGCCUGAGAAACGGCUACUACAUCCAAGGAAGGCAGCAGGCGCGCAAAUUACCCAAUCCCGACUCGGGGAGGUAGUGACAAUAAAUACUGAUACAGGGCCCUUUCGGGCCUUGUAAUUGGAAUGAGUACAAUUUAAAUCCCUUAACGAGGAACAAUUGGAGGGCAAGUCUGGUGCCAGCAGCCGCGGUAAUUCCAGCUCCAAUAGCGUAUAUUAAAGUUGUUGUGGUUAAAAAGCUCGUAGUUGAACCUUGGGCCUGGCUGGCCGGUCCGCCUCACCGCGUGCACUGGUCCGGCCGGGCCUUUCCCUCUGUGGAACCCCAUACCCUUCACUGGGCGUGGCGGGGAAACAGGACAUUUACUUU